GGGUAAUGCCUAAUGGACCCUUAUCACCUCAGGCACUCGGUCAUGCUGUGGGACGCAUUUCGGUCCUUAGACGCCAGUCGUCAGGGGUGUGAUAUGAGGUGGGGUGAAAUGCCCC
rfam:Paenibacillus mucilaginosus 3016, complete genome.